rnacentral:rRNA from 1 species
GAUGAACGCUGGCGGCGUGCCUAAUACAUGCAAGUCGAGCGAACAGACGAGGAGCUUGCUCCUCUGACGUUAGCGGCGGACGGGUGAGUAACACGUGGAUAACCUACCUAUAAGACUGGGAUAACUUCGGGAAACCGGAGCUAAUACCGGAUAAUAUAUUGAACCGCAUGGUUCAAUAGUGAAAGACGGUUUUGCUGUCACUUAUAGAUGGAUCCGCGCCGCAUUAGCUAGUUGGUAAGGUAACGGCUUACCAAGGCGACGAUGCGUAGCCGACCUGAGAGGGGGGACGGCCACGGUGGAAAUGAGACAGGGUCCAGACUCCUACGGGAGGCAGCAGUAGGGCAUCUUCCGCAAUGGGCGAAAGCCGGACGGAGGAAAGGCGAGUUGGUGAUGAAAGUCCUCGGAUCGUAAAACUUUGUUAUGAGGGAAGAAAAAAUGUGUAAGUAAAUAUACGCGUCUUGGCGGUACCUAAACAGAAAGCCACGGCUAACUUCGU